rnacentral:rRNA from 1 species
GAUUAGCCUGCGUCCGAUUAGCUAGUUGGAAGGGUAAAGGCCUACCAAGGCGACGAUCGGUAGCUGGUCUGAGAGGAUGAUCAGCCACACUGGAACUGAGAGACGGUCCAGACUCCUACGGGAGGCAGCAGUGGGGAAUAUUGGACAAUGGGGGAGACCCUGAUCCAGCAAUGCCGCGUGUGUGAAGAAGGCCUGAGGGUUGUAAAGCACUAUCAGUGGGGAGAAGGGUUUAUAGGUUAAGAGCUAAUGAACUGGAUGUUACCCACAGAAGAAGCACCGGCUAACUCCGUGCCAGCAGCCGCGGUAAUACGGAGGGUGCGAGCGUUAAUCGGAAUAACUGGGCGUAAAGGGUGCGUAGGUGGUUGUUUAAGUUAUCUGUGAAAUUCCUGGGCUUAACCUGGGCUGGUCAGAUAAGACUGGGCGACUGGAGUAUGGGAGAGGGUAGUGGAAUUUCCGGUGUAGCGGUGAAAUGCGUAGAGAUCGGGAGGAACACCAGUGGCGAAGGCGGCUACCUGGCCCAAUACUGACACUGAGGCACGAAAGCGUGGGGAGCAAACAGGAUUAGAUACCCUGGUAGUCCACGCUGUAAACGAUGUCAACUAGCUGUUGG